ACCAAUCAGCCACGCACGCAAUUACAACAGACAAGACACGUGUUAUGACUGCAGGAGGUCAUCCGAAGGGAUCAAUACCGAACUUGCAACUAGAAACAAGAAGCUGAUAGCUGCCCACCUGGAGAAGGGGAGGUACAAGUUAUGAGUGUUCGGUCUCGCAAGUAGGUGACAGGCGGCGACCACCCGAUAAGCUAUAAAUUAACUGCGGGGAGAAGGGACGCCGACGCAUUUUCGGAGCACCGCCAAAAAAGACACACCCUCAUCCUAUCCUUUUCCAUACAUUCAUCCACCUAUAAAAGUCCAUGUGUGACCACGGGGAGGAGCCUUCUGUAACCGGAGUUCACACUGACGGGGCGAAGCUCUGUCUGUCCGACAACUAUCUUUAUGCAAUUUCGGACUUAGUUCUCAAGACAUUCCGAGAUUCUUAGUUUCAUUUAACUUCUGACUUAGAAUAACUCUGUAAAAAGUCUUUUGUAAAUUUUAUCUGAGAAUAAACGGAAACUCUUUAUUAAACUUAUAAAUUGCGAGUCACGCGGCUUAUUCAAACUUCUCGCCCUGAGAACGAGUCAACGUUAGCUGUCUGCCGUCACGAAGCGAAGCCGAGCCGAGACCCGAACAUCUUCACGACAAAGGUCGCCCGAUGGCUCUUACCGCAAUGCCCCCUGAAGUUGGCAUUUGAGCAACCCUCCGAAUAAUCCUGACCCCAGCACUGGACCUGAAAAAUGCGAAUUGGACAAAAUAAAUCGAUAAACAUGAUGAUUGGUCAAUACUUAGGUACUUAUGCUAAUAACUAUAAAGACUCAACGCGAUUGGUUGAAUUAGUGCCAAAAUUUAAAACUGUUCAAAAAGAGUUAAAAUGUAUAUAGUAAAUCAAUAAAAACGAAUUAUAUGCAUGACUAUUAAUUUGAGUAUCUAAAAAAGAUAAAAUGAAAUAAUAUAAUACGAUGUUAGAAAAUAUUAAAAUUAUGUAUGUACUUUUGAAUUUAUAAUCUGCAAAUCAUUAUUUAUGCACAAAUACAAAAUAUCAUGAGUAUUAUUACUAAUAUAUUGAAAAUUUACCUACCGAAUAUAAACAAUAUUUGCUUCUAUUUUGGUUUUAUUCAUUUCUAAUCUGCUGCUUUCAGCACUGGCAGGAUGAAAUUUGCACAGUCACUGCAACAGUAAUCUGAUUUGAAAUUUAAUGUGUUAAGUAUACACAUUUGUAACUGAAAAAUCGUUGCCCGCAAUAUAAGCGAUACCUAUAUAUAAGCGCUAAUAUUACUAUAUAUAGAUUUUCGAGUAUACUCGCGGAUUUUAGGAUUUUGAUUUUUGGCACUCUCAGCGAAUAUACGUAUAUCAUAUAAUUAGCGACUGAUACGGCAGAUUUUUUUUCAUAUAUUAUCGUUUGGAAUAAAAACACACUGAGAGAAAAAUCAUGGACUCGUUGCUGCGGUGAGUCCCCUGUGACGUAAGCCGUAAUCACGUGAUCACGUGAUUGAAUAUAAGCGCGUAAUUCAAAUUUUUAUUAAUAAAAUCGAGUAUAUUUUAUGUAUAUCUUAUAAAAUGAUUUAGAGAAAG
rnacentral:lncRNA from 1 species